AUAAAUCGAUUUUUUAAUGAUAAAAUGUAACUUAUUGUGAAUUUAUCAUCUAGGGGAGAUUAUGACCUAUUUUGCAGUUGGUGGCAACAUUGGCUGUAGUUGUCUGGCUGAGGGUCUUUUGAGGUGAAGGAGGGAGAAGCCGAGAAAUAGAACAAUACUCUAUAAUGUGUUCUUUGGGAAUUCUCCGAUUAAGAAAUGUUUAUAGACAACUGUUUUCAAGUUAUAAGUUCAAUAAUUGUUUUAUCAAACAGAGUGACAAUGUACAAUUCAAGUCUGUGUUAAGAUCCAAUUUAGCCAGUGAUGUGUCAAAAAUAGAUUCCAUGAAUACAAAAAGUAACUUAGGAAAAGACAAACUAUUGUUUUAUUAUGAAAACCCCAAAUUCUUCUACUUUUUAAAUGGUUUUGCCUUUGUACAAUUUUUCUUUUGGGUGCAUAUGGCUGAGUUUACUUAUACCAAGAUGAAAGAUGUCAAAGUUGAUAAGAUUAACGCAAACUUGCCAUGGUGGAGAAGACUCAAUUUUGAAAACGACUCUACUAGAACAGCUGUGGCAGUAUUUUGCUUCUUGCUAGGCUAUGGCAUUUUGUCAACUGCUUGGAUUUACACCCUCAGAUCAGUGAGGAUGUUGGUUCUACGAAAGGGUGGGAAGUCAGUAACCUUUGUCACUUAUGGACCGUUUGGAAGAAAUAAACAUUUGGAUGUUUCUCUUCAGCAGAUAACGACCAGCCAGACCAGAUAUAGUGCCAAAGUCCAGCUGCCUAUCAAAGUUCAGGGCAAGUGGUUCUAUUAUAUCCUAGAUACCAAGAAUGGGACCUUCCCUAAUCCUGAACUGUUUGACUUCACUGCAGGCAUGAAGAGAACAUUGAAGUAACAAUGUUACCAUGCCACAUUCACACCAUGGUGAGAUAUGCAGCCAAAGUAAGGAGGUCAGAGAUAAUAAGAAAGAUUUCAUCAUAGUGAAACUCAUCAAGACAAUGCAGACUUCAGAAUAUUCUCCUCUUCAAAUAUUGUGAUUUUGUUCUUUUAUAUUUGAGUUUUUUAAUACAUUAAGUAUUAUAAUUAUCUGUAAAUAGUGUUAACCCCUUAGGUAAUAAAUUUGUAAAAAACA
rnacentral:misc_RNA from 1 species